GUGGGGUGACGGCCUACCAAGGCGACGACGGGUAGCCGGCCUGAGAGGGUGUCCGGCCACACUGGGACUGAGAUACGGCCCAGACUCCUACGGGAGGCAGCAGUGGGGAAUAUUGCACAAUGGGCGCAAGCCUGAUGCAGCGACGCCGCGUGGGGGAUGACGGCCUUCGGGUUGUAAACCUCUUUCAGCAGGGACGAAGCGCAAGUGACGGUACCUGCAGAAGAAGCACCGGCCAACUACGUGCCAGCAGCCGCGGUAAUACGUAGGGUGCGAGCGUUGUCCGGAAUUACUGGGCGUAAAGAGCUCGUAGGUGGUUUGUCGCGUUGUUCGUGAAAACCGGGGGCUUAACCCUCGGCGUGCGGGCGAUACGGGCAGACUGGAGUACUGCAGGGGAGACUGGAAUUCCUGGUGUAGCGGUGGAAUGCGCAGAUAUCAGGAGGAACACCGGUGGCGAAGGCGGGUCUCUGGGCAGUAACUGACGCUGAGGAGCGAAAGCGUGGGGAGCGAACAGGAUUAGAUACCCUGGUAGUCCACGCCGUAAACGGUGGGUACUAGGUGUGGGUUUCCUUCCUUGGGAUCCGUGCCGUAGCUAACGCAUUAAGU
rnacentral:rRNA from 1 species